UACGGAGGGAGCAAGCGUUACUCGGAAUUAUUGGGCGUAAAGGGCGCGUAGGCGAUUUGAAAAGUCUUGUGUGAAAGCCCCGAGCUUAACUCGGGAAGUGCACAAGAAACUGUUGAAUUUGAGUUCCGGAGAGGAAGGCAGAAUUCCCGGUGUAGCGGUGAAAUGCGUAGAUAUCGGGAGGAAUACCAGUGGCGAAGGCGGCCUUCUGGACGGAUACUGACGUUGAGGCGCGAAAGCCAGGGG
rnacentral:rRNA from 1 species